AGGGCGUUAAUAAAAACUGAAAAAUAAGAAGGUCAUCACCACAUUGAGACUUUAAACCCUAGCCGCCGUCACACCCUCCAUUCUCUACUUUAAAACCCUAACCCUCCUUCCAUCUUCUCGCUAUACCUCUCUCUAAAAUUCGAGAUCAUCCGCCGUUGCUUAGCACAGGAUGGAAUCUCAAGUGAAGCAUGCCGUGGUGGUGAAAGUAAUGGGUCGGACCGGAUCGAGAGGACAGGUGACUCAGGUGAGAGUCAAGUUUCUGGACGAUCAGAACCGGUUCAUCAUGAGGAAUGUCAAGGGACCUGUGAGGGAAGGCGACAUCCUAACCUUACUCGAGUCUGAAAGAGAAGCAAGAAGGUUGCGUUAAUUGGCUGCUCGUUGCUCCCCUGCUUCUCAAGUUCUUGCUGGUUUCUUCUUGUGGUUAGUCAAUGGCACUUUAAGUACUGUUGGUUUAAUGAAGUUUGAUUUUACAAUACAUGAGAGUUGAUGUCAUUGGCCGGAGUCCACUGGCGCAUGUUUCAGUAGGUUGGAUAGGCAAUACAAAGCCACACUUCAAUGAUAAUUUAUGAGAUGAUGAAAUAAAUAAACACGAACUUUUGA